rnacentral:rRNA from 1 species
CGGGGGAGGCAAGCGUUGUUCGGAUUUACUGGGCGUAAAGGGCGCGUAGGCGGCCACCGCAAGUCGACUGUGAAAUCUCCGGGCUUAACUCGGAAAGGUCAGCCGAUACUGCGGGGCUAGAGUGCAGAAGGGGCAACUGGAAUUCUCGGUGUAGCGGUGAAAUGCGUAGAUAUCGAGAGGAACACCUGCGGCGAAGGCGGGUUGCUGGGCUGACACUGACGCUGAUGUGCGAAAGCUAGGGGAGCGAACGGGAUUAGAUACCCCGGUAGUCCUAGCCUUAAACGAUGAAUGCUUGGUGUCUGGGGUUCUAUAGUCCCCGGGUGCCGUCGCUAACGCUUUAAGCAUUCCGCCUGGGGAGUACGGUCGCAAGACUG